rnacentral:tRNA from 1 species
CCUUCGAUAGCUCAGUUGGUAGAGCGGAGUACUGUAGAUCCUUAGGUCGCUGGUUCGAAUCCGGCUCGAAGGA